ensembl:lncRNA
UGUCGAGCACAUCGAUAUCCAGAGGUGAAUUCCUGGAUUGAAACCUCUGAAAAUCACGGGGGGCUGAUUCUGCCUUCAGCUCCAUCAGUAUCAGGGGAGCUCCACUGACCUCAGGGGGUGUAAGUGCCAAGAGAACCAAUCUGCUCCUCCUGGCAGCAGAGAGUGAGCUCCCCUCUCAGCGGGAUCUGCUCUUGUCCCCUUGCACUGAAGGCGUUCGGAGGGAAGGACGCAGCGCCACUCCAGCUGCUGGGAGUGCCCAGCUCCACCACACUCCCCGCUCACCGUGCUCCUUGUCCUGCCCGCCUGCGCCCAUCUGGCUGGGAUGCACUGAGCUGUGCAGGGCAGCCGGGCAGACACCGAGGGGUUACCUGGGCAGGCAGCAGAAGGCCGCUGGUGACAUCUGCUCCGUGGGGACCGUCCCUAGGGAGCGGCGCUGGUCACACCCCUGCACCUGACAGCGCCUGUUGAUCACCACGUGCCGAGGAAGGGCAGCAAAGCAGAGCCGGCCAGGAGGUGGCUGUUCCCAGGCAGUCGGGGCAGCCCCUGGGAGAGGCAUCGGAGGCUUGUGAGAUUCCAUGCUGUCAUCACAACGCUUGGCACUGGAAAGGAUUACCCUUCUUGUGAUCCAUUUACAGAAUUUUCAGGGCUUCCUCUUGCAAAACAGAUGUAAAACGCUGCCAUCUGUUCAUCGUGCCCAUGACUGUGCAAGAUGAAGAAGUAAAAAAAAGUGCCUGUAUGCAAAAGCUGUCAUCAUCCAACCCAAAAUCAGACACAAGGCAGUAUUGUGCAAGGGAAGGGCUGUUGUCAUGGGGGUCUGAUUUGUAGCACAGUCGUUUUCAGUUCUGAAAUAUUCACUCACUCUGCGGCACCUUAACCAAAUAAAUUCAGUGAACCCCAGUAAGCACGGAGUUUAUGGAUGUGGCGGGUCCUGGAAGAGAGCAAGGAUCCAGUGCCUGGCCUCAGAAUUACUUAUGCAGAGGGAAGAAGAGAUACAAAACAUAAAACACUCAGCAGCUGAUGCGAUAUCAGAUUUUAUUGGCAAGGUACCAAGCAGCGUGGGCAGCUCCUCCCAGGCUCCAGAUGCACCUCGAGCUGGCUGUUUAGAUGUACCCAGCAGGGCCACCAAGCUCCACUGCCACAUCCCCACAAUUGUGCCUCUGGCUGGAGAGGGGGAAAAAAGAGCUUCAGUGGGAGAAGAGCCCUACAGAGAGAAUCCAAGGCACAAAAUGUGGGAAACUCAGGAUGUCCUAAAUGUUUUCUGCUCUGGUCAGUGGUAUCCCUGCUCCUGCCCGCAGUGAACGCCAGCUCCGGCAAUUGCUGUGGUCACAGCUGUUUGUGCUGCCUCUGACACAAAUCCCAACCAGGGACAGAGGCACUGGCAUGGCAGUUCCACACAGGACACAGCACCGCUCAACUUUCUUGUUUUUAUGGACAGGACACUGAACCCAGACACUGAAUUGUCAAGUGCCUCUUAGAAUGCAGAAUGCCAAGCUAAAAAAAGCCAAGGAAAAGCAAUUCAGAGGAAAGAAAAGGAUGGAAAUAUCUAUCAUUCAACAACACUGACAAAAAACAAACCCUGGCAGCAGGCUCCUAUGCACUGCCUUGUUUAUGCCAAUGUUGGUUGCAGCUCCUGUUGGGAUCAGAAGCACAACAAAUUGUCUGUUUCCCUGAAUCCAGAGGGCUCUGAUAGCUACUGACCAUGCUGACAGAGCCCAUUGCCUGCAUUUGAAUGGGAACGAUGGAUAGGAGAAACAGCCACGCUCGAACACAUACAAGAUUGUUUUUAUAAAUCCAACACUGUAUUUACAAGUUCCAGCUUUUAAGGCCAGGGUAUUUUAUUUACCUUGCUGGUUUUCUAAUAGUGAAAAAGCAGGAGAGCAAUCCAUCUGCCUGAACUGGAAGCUUCUUAUAAAUAAACAGCAAUAAAAAGCAACA